UUAAGCGACUAAGCGUACACGGUGGAUGCCCUGGCAGUCAGAGGCGAUGAAGGACGUGCUAAUCUGCGAAAAGCGUCGGUAAGGUGAUAUGAACCGUUAUAACCGGCGAUGUCCGAAUGGGGAAACCCAGUGCAAUUCGUUGCACUAUCGUUAACUGAAUACAUAGGUUAACGAGGCGAACCGGGGGAACUGAAACAUCUAAGUACCCCGAGGAAAAGAAAUCAACCGAGAUUCCCCCAGUAGCGGCGAGCGAACGGGGAGCAGCCCAGAGUCUGAAUCAGCUUGUGUGUUAGUGGAACGGUCUGGAAAGUCCGACGGUACAGGGUGAUAGUCCCGUACACCAAAAUGCACAGGCUGUGAACUCGAAGAGUAGGGCGGGACACGUGGUAUCCUGUCUGAAUAUGGGGGGACCAUCCUCCAAGGCUAAAUACUCCUGACUGACCGAUAGUGAACCAGUACCGUGAGGGAAAGGCGAAAAGAACCCCGGCGAGGGGAGUGAAAAAGAACCUGAAACCGUGUACGUACAAGCAGUGGGAGCACCUUCGGGUGUGACUGCGUACCUUUUGUAUAAUGGGUCAGCGACUUAUAUUCUGUAGCAAGGUUAACCGUAUAGGGAGCCGCAGGGAAACCGAGUCUUAACUGGGCGUUAAGUUGCAGGGUAUAGACCCGAAACCCGGUGAUCUAGCCAUGGGCAGGUUGAAGGUUGGGUAACACUAACUGGAGGACCGAACCGACUAAUGUUGAAAAAUUAGCGGAUGACUUGUGGCUGGGGGUGAAAGGCCAAUCAAACCGGGAGAUAGCUGGUUCUCCCCGAAAGCUAUUUAGGUAGCGCCUCGUGAAUUCAUCUUCGGGGGUAGAGCACUGUUUCGGCUAGGGGGUCAUCCCGACUUACCAACCCGAUGCAAACUACGAAUACCGAAGAAUGUUAUCACGGGAGACACACGGCGGGUGCUAACGUCCGUCGUGAAGAGGGAAACAACCCAGACCGCCAGCUAAGGUCCCAAAGUCAUGGUUAAGUGGGAAACGAUGUGGGAAGGCACAGACAGCCAGGAUGUUGGCUUAGAAGCAGCCAUCAUUUAAAGAAAGCGUAAUAGCUCACUGGUCGAGUCGGCCUGCGCGGAAGAUGUAACGGGGCUAAACCAUGCACCGAAGCUGCGGCAGCGACACUAUGUGUUGUUGGGUAGGGGAGCGUUCUGUAAGCCUGCGAAGGUGACCUGUGAGGGUUGCUGGAGGUAUCAGAAGUGCGAAUGCUGACAUAAGUAACGAUAAAGCGGGUGAAAAGCCCGCUCGCCGGAAGACCAAGGGUUCCUGUCCAACGUUAAUCGGGGCAGGGUGAGUCGACCCCUAAGGCGAGGCCGAAAGGCGUAGUCGAUGGGAAACAGGUUAAUAUUCCUGUACUUGGUGUUACUGCGAAGGGGGGACGGAGAAGGCUAUGUUAGCCGGGCGACGGUUGUCCCGGUUUAAGCAUGUAGGCUGGUUAUCCAGGCAAAUCCGGAUAAUCAAGGCUGAGGUGUGAUGACGAGGCACUACGGUGCUGAAGUAACAAAUGCCCUGCUUCCAGGAAAAGCCUCUAAGCAUCAGGUAACAUCAAAUCGUACCCCAAACCGACACAGGUGGUCAGGUAGAGAAUACCAAGGCGCUUGAGAGAACUCGGGUGAAGGAACUAGGCAAAAUGGUGCCGUAACUUCGGGAGAAGGCACGCUGGUGUGUAGGUGAAGCCCCUGCGGGUGGAGCUGAGACCAGUCGAAGAUACCAGCUGGCUGCAACUGUUUAUUAAAAACACAGCACUGUGCAAACACGAAAGUGGACGUAUACGGUGUGACGCCUGCCCGGUGCCGGAAGGUUAAUUGAUGGGGUUAUCCGUAAGGAGAAGCUCUUGAUCGAAGCCCCCGGUAAACGGCGGCCGUAACUAUAACGGUCCUAAGGUAGCGAAAUUCCUUGUCGGGUAAGUUCCGACCUGCACGAAUGGCGUAAUGAUGGCCAGGCUGUCUCCACCCGAGACUCAGUGAAAUUGAACUCGCUGUGAAGAUGCAGUGUACCCGCGGCAAGACGGAAAGACCCCGUGAACCUUUACUAUAGCUUGACACUGAACAUUGAGCCUUGAUGUGUAGGAUAGGUGGGAGGCUUUGAAGCGUGGACGCCAGUCUGCGUGGAGCCAACCUUGAAAUACCACCCUUUAAUGUUUGAUGUUCUAACGUUGGCCCCUGACCGGGGUUGCGGACAGUGUCUGGUGGGUAGUUUGACUGGGGCGGUCUCCUCCCAAAGCGUAACGGAGGAGCACGAAGGUUAGCUAAUCCUGGUCGGACAUCAGGAGGUUAGUGCAAUGGCAUAAGCUAGCUUGACUGCGAGCGUGACGGCGCGAGCAGGUGCGAAAGCAGGUCAUAGUGAUCCGGUGGUUCUGAAUGGAAGGGCCAUCGCUCAACGGAUAAAAGGUACUCCGGGGAUAACAGGCUGAUACCGCCCAAGAGUUCAUAUCGACGGCGGUGUUUGGCACCUCGAUGUCGGCUCAUCACAUCCUGGGGCUGAAGUAGGUCCCAAGGGUAUGGCUGUUCGCCAUUUAAAGUGGUACGCGAGCUGGGUUUAGAACGUCGUGAGACAGUUCGGUCCCUAUCUGCCGUGGGCGCUGGAGAAUUGAGGGGGGCUGCUCCUAGUACGAGAGGACCGGAGUGGACGCAUCACUGGUGUUCGGGUUGUCAUGCCAAUGGCACUGCCCGGUAGCUAAAUGCGGAAGAGAUAAGUGCUGAAAGCAUCUAAGCACGAAACUUGCCCCGAGAUGAGUUCUCCCUGAGACUUUAAGUCUCCUGAAGGAACGUUGAAGACGAUGACGUUGAUAGGCCGGGUGUGUAAGCGCAGCGAUGCGUUGAGCUAACCGGUACUAAUGAACCGUGAGGCUUAACCUU
rnacentral:rRNA from 1 species